CAUCCAGACCGGAGGAUAAACACAAAAAUCAGAGCAAAAACUUCUCUUUCCGGAGAUCUCUCUACUAAUGGCUGGAACUCUCCACACAUUAAAUCUCAAACCCUUAAUUUCUCAUCGAAUCUUAUUCAAACCUCCAUCAUCAUCAUCAUCUAAUCUUAUCAAAUCCUCCCCUAAUUUCUUAAUUUCUUGCCCUAAUUCACAUUCACUUAGGUUGUAUCGAUCGAUUUCUUCGCAUACUGUUGUCAAAUCCAAUCUAAGCUCCAAUCAGGUAAAUGAUAAUGGAGAUCAACAUGAUAAGAGGAUAUCAUCAAAGACGGUUUCGUGGGAUAAAUCUUUGUUGGAUUUUGCUGGAACUAAUUUCCUUCCAUUAGCUCUUGUGAGUGGAGUAGUUUCAGGGCUUGUAAAUCCUACUCUUGGUUGUCUUGCACAUCAUUAUUCAGUAUCCAAGUGCAGCACAUUUGGGAUUUUUCUCAUAUCAGGGUUGUUGUUGCGGAGUGAAGAAAUUGGAGCUGCCACAGAAGCUUGGCCUGCAGGAUUGUUUGGGCUAGUUUCUAUUCUACUUUUGACGCCCUUCUUUUCAAAGGUUAUCUUACAACUUCAGCUGGUACCACAAGAAUUUGUCACAGGGCUAGCUGUUUUCUCUUGCAUGCCAACAACGUUGUCAAGUGGUGUGGCAUUGACACAGCUUGCUGGUGGGAAUACCACUCUGGCUCUUGCAAUAACAGUGAUAUCUAAUCUGAUUGGCAUCUUGACUGUUCCGUUGUCUAUCUCAAAGUUUAUAGCUGAUGGAGUUGGCGUAUCUGUACCAACUAAGCAACUGUUUAAAAGCCUUGUUGUCACACUUGUUGUCCCUCUAGUGUUGGGAAAGGUUUCUCGAGAUUGUUUCAAGGGAGUGUCAGAAUUCGUUGAUCGAAACCGCAAGAAGUUAUCCAUGCUUAGUGCAAUCUUACUUAGUCUCGUUCCAUGGAUGCAAGUGAGUAGAUCAAGAUCACUGUUGCUGAUGGUCAAGCCAACAAUGUUUCUUGUAGCUAUUGGAAUUGGAAUGGUUUCACAUCUCAUUCUACUAGCAUUUAAUACAGUCGCAGUUCAGAGCCUAUCAGUUGCUACUGGUGGUAAAGAUUCUGUUUUCUCAGAGAAAGGGAAUGCUCGUGCGCUCAUAAUCGUUGCUAGCCAGAAAACCUUGCCUGUCAUGGUAGCAGUUGUAGAACAGCUCCAUGGUGCUUUGGGUGAAUCAGCGCUGUUAGUUCUUCCUUGUGUGGCUGCUCAUAUUAAUCAGAUCAUCAUUGACUCUUUUCUGGUUAACUACUGGCUCCGGAAGGAUCGGGUAUCCAGCAGUUUGAAGGAAGCUUGAUGAAAGCUUUCAUUUCUAUGGUAGGCUGAGCUGUAAACUGAAACGUAUCCAGAUUGAUGAUCAGAGAGUUGGGCAUGGUGGUGUUUAUACUCCCGAGCUUACCUGCUAGUUACUCCCGCGCACUGUGGGAUUUCUAGGAAGAGAAGGGAGCAGAGAAGAGUCUCCAUGUGAUGACUGUAAGAGAGUACACCUGAAUUUGGGUAGACUAGUGUAGUAUUAGUAUUGAUGCAUGAAGAGUAGUAGUAGCUCUUGAGUACUACAAAGAGGUACAAACUGUUUAACCUCUACCUUGCAGACAGUAACAUCCACAGUGACAUGACAUGGUGUGUACAGAGAAUGCCUCUCCAGUCCUAAUCUGUUUACUAUUUAAAGGAUGUAAGUACGAAUGAAUUUACUCACCACAUUUUACAGUAUCAACUUGGUUUUGGCCCCCCCAUACUUUUAACUUCUUGACUGUCAUUUCAUUAGUGCUGUAAGUAUAAACUGUUUGAGUAGGA